CUGCAGCCAAUUAAGCCGUCAGAGUUUCUUUUCCUCAGGGGGGCGCUGUGUGCAGCGAUGCCUCUAGCGUAGCAGCCGGUUGCUGGCAUGAGCUACCCCUAGGACCGAGGGAGACAGCC
ensembl:snoRNA SNORA70 Small nucleolar RNA SNORA70